rnacentral:rRNA from 1 species
CAGCUAGUUGGUGAGGUAACGGCUCACCAAGGCGACGAUCCGUAGCUGGUCUGAGAGGACGACCAGCCACACCGGAACUGAGACACGGUCCGGACUCCUACGGGAGGCAGCAGUGGGGAAUAUUGGACAAUGGGGGCAACCCUGAUCCAGCGACGCCGCGUGGGUGAAGAAGGCCUGCGGGUUGUAAAGCCCUUUCGGUGGGGAAGAAAAGUCUCGGCCUAACAUGCCGGGAUCUUGACGUAACCCACAAAAGAAGCACCGGCUAACUCUGUGCCAGCAGCCGCGGUAAUACAGAGGGUGCGAGCGUUAAUCGGAAUUACUGGGCGUAAAGCGCGCGUAGGCGGCUUUGCAAGUCGGAUGUGAAAUCCCCGGGCUUAACCUGGGAACUGCAUUCGAGACUGCAUUGCUAGAGUAUGGGAGAGGGAAGUGGAAUUUCAGGUGUAGCGGUGAAAUGCGUAGAUAUCUGAAGGAACAUCAGUGGCGAAAGCGACUUCCUGGACCAAUACUGACGCUCAUGUGCGAAAGCGUGGGGAGCAAACAGGAUUAGGUACCCUGGUAGUCCACGCCAUAAACGAUGAGAACUGGAUGUCGGGAGGGUUAGCCUCUCGGUGUCGUAGCUAACGCGUUAAGUUCUCCGCCUGGGGAGUACGGCCGCAAGGUUGAAACUC